rnacentral:rRNA from 1 species
UACGGGGGGGGCAAGCGUUGUUCGGAAUUACUGGGCGUAAAGGGCUCGUAGGCGGCCAACUAAGUCGGAUGUGAAAUCCCCAGGCUUAACCUGGGAACUGCAUCCGAUACUGGAUGGCUUGAAUCCGGGAGAGGGAUGCAGAAUUCCAGGUGUAGCGGUGAAAUGCGUAGAUAUCUGGAGGAAUACCGGUGGCGAAGGCGGAUCUCUGGGCCUUACCUGACGCUCAGGCGCGAAAGCUAGGGGAGCGAACUGG